rnacentral:misc_RNA from 1 species
CCCAACUAUCCCUAUUAAUCAUUACGUCGAUCCUAGAAACCAACAAAAUAGGGUCAAACGUCCUAUUUCAUUAUUCCAUGCUAAUGUAUUCAAGCGUGAGCCUGCUUUAAACACUCUAUGUAACAGUCCUGAUUCCCCGCGACACCAAAUUAAUGACAUCACGGAUCUUCAGAAGGGAGAAACCAGUGACACCAGUGCAUACCAAAGGCAUGACCAGCGUACUGAUCCCGAAAUUCAACUACGAGCUUUUUAACUGCAACAACUUUAAUAUACGCUAUUGGAGCUGGAAUUACCGCGGCUGCUGGCACCAGACUUGCCCUCCAA